GAUGAAGAACGCAGCGAAAUGCGAUAAGUAAUGUGAAUUGCAGAAUUCAGUGAAUCGUCGAAUCUUUGAACGCACAUUGCGCCCCUUGGUAUUCCGAGGGGCAUGCCUGUUCGAGCGUCAUUAUAACCCCUCAAGCUCAGCUUGGUGUUGGGGCCUGCUGCACUGGCAGCCCUUAAAAUCAGUGGCGGCGCCAUCUGGCUCUAAGCGUAGUAAUUCUUCUCGCUAUGGAGUCCUGGUGGAUGCUUGCCAUCAACCCCCAAUUUUUCUAUGGUUGACCUCGGAUCAGGUAGGGAUACCCGCUGAACUUAAGCAUAUCAAUAAGCGGAGGA
rnacentral:misc_RNA from 1 species